CAGUGGCUCUGCGGGCAGCCUGGCAGCAGGGCAGCCGCUGACUCGCGGUUUCUGGGACGCGCCAGGAUGGGGUUUCGACCCGGCCCUGAGUCCCUCCCAGGCGGGCAGGUCCAGGGCUCUGGGACCCACCCCGGGUGGAGGCUGCCCCAUGGGCAGCAGAACGAGCUGACCCAGGCCUGCACCCACUGCCCAUGCAGGCAGCAUCCGGAGCCCGCUUCUAAACACAGCACUCCCCCCUUGACGCCCCACCCCCCGUGGAGAAAAGGCCGCCCUGUGGGUCCUUGGUUCUUGGUUCUCGGUUCUCAGAGCUGCAAGGGACGUUAAAACAAGGAGAAGCAGCUCUGAUCUCCAUUCAGAGGAGAGGAGCCCUCGGACCCGCACCUCCCAGUAGGAAUCGAAUUCCGUCUGCCUGGUAAGUGACGGCAGCAUGUAGCAGGUGAAAUUACUCAGCACUGGUCUUCUUUAAACCGCUGUCUCCGAAAUGCCAGCAUUUCCACACGGAGUCAGUGUGGACGGGCGUUGGCGGGAGAGUUUGCAUUGUCUCUGGCUAGAGCUGUCCAGACCCUCCCCGGGGUUCUGGCCUCUCGGAAACACAGGACGCCAACUGAAGACCCACUGACGGCCCCCGGGACCCCAGGGCACGUCGGAGCUCCCAAGCCUGGGGCUGGCGGCCUCCAGAGGUGGUGCGGAGAAAUGCGCGGAAAGGUCUUUUUAAAAAGAAUACAAAAUACAGAGCUCCCCUGGUGGCUCAGCAGUAACCCAGCUAGUAUCCGUGAGGACUCGGGUUCCAUCCCUGGCCCUGCUCAAUGGGUUAAGGAUCCAGUGUUGCCAUAUGCGGCUCUGAUUCCGAGUCGCUGUGGCUGUGGUGUAGGCCGGUGGCUGCAGCUCGGAUUCGACCCCUAGCCUGGGAACUUCCAUAUGCUGUGGGUGCGGCCCUAAAAAGAUAAACAAAUAAAAAGUAAAAAAAGACACACUUUAAUUUUAAUUUUUUUGCCUUAUAGGGCCUCGCUGGCAGCAUACGGAAGUUCCCAAGCUAAGAGUCUUUUUUUUUUUUUCCCCUAUUUUUUUGGCUUUUUUUUUUUUUUUUUUGUCUUUUUUAGUGCCUUUGCUGGGGCGCUCCUGCGGCAUAUGGAGGCUCCCAGGCUAGGGGUCUAAUCGAAGCUGUAGCUGCCGGCCUACGCCAGAGCCAUGGCAACGCUGGAUCCAAACCACAUCUGCAAUCUACACCACAGCUCACGGCAACACCGGAUCCUUAACCCACUGAGAGAGACCAGGGGUCGAACCCACAUCCUCAUGGAUACUCGUUGGGUUUGCUCCCCCUGAGCCACAAAGGGAACGCCCAUAUUUUAAUAUUUUAAUUGUUAAAUGCAACCUACCUGGAGAAGAGCAGAGUUAUGGUUUUUUUGUUUGUUCACUUAAUGUACUAAAUUAAGAAACAUUAAAUUUAACAGUCACUGUCACGGAUGCUACCCUUUAUCUUUAUCUUGUGCAGGGCGAGUUUUAAAGCAAACAUGGGAGUGGUGACCUCAAGGCAGACACUGAAGUCGCAUACUCUGCACUUCGUAGCUCAAAGGGCGGGUAUGUUUCGUUCUGCUGACUGAAAAAAAAAAAAAAAAGUACGACCCAAGUGUUUGAAUUCUGUUUUAUUUGGAAGACUUUCUGGAUACCCCCAUCCCGGGAGGCAGCCUCUCAGGCCAUUCCGAGGGACGGCUCCCGAGAGGGCACGGAGGCCCAAGGUAGAGGGGGUUCCGCAGCAGAAGCCAGGUGGCCUGGCGCUGCCACUGCGGUGCCACCGGCUCAGUGGUGUCUCUGCAGCACCCGGAUCUCGGUUCGAACCCCAGCCCCACAUGGUGGAGUAAAGGACCCCGUGUUGUCCUAGCUGCGGUGUAGGUCGCACCUGUGGCUCAGAUCUGAUCCCUGGCCCAGGAACUCCCUGUGCAGCGGGGCAGCCAAAAAAAGAAGGGAAAAAAACGUGGAGGUGAAACAUGAAAAGCUGAGUGUUCAUCACAGAAAACCAGGCCUCUCCAGGGAGGGGAGUGCAGGAGUCUGGCUCACGGAAGCCAAGGCUUUGCCGUGCCCCUGGGCUCUCGGGCCGUGUCCUGUGCUCUCCUGUCCUGAGUCCCCUCGGGGGGGGGGGCACCGGCGGGGAGGCUGUGACGUGAGGGCUUGAUGGCUGCAGCAGCCUCUCUUCACUGAUGUGGCAGCAACAUCUUUCGUUCACAGCUCCUACCUCAGCGGUGAAAUGCGCCAGACUCACUCCGUUUUUGUUUCACUGAGUGAAAUAUCCGUAGCACUUGCUGAUCAACCACUAAGUAAGUGGACGGCUCAGCGGCGCUAAGUCCCUUCGUGCUCUUGUGGGACCACCUCCACCAUCGUCUCCAGAACUUUCUCAUCUUCCCAAACUGAAUCUUUGUUCCCGUGAAAUUCUGUCCCCAUCCUCCUCCGCCAGCCCCUGGCAUCCGUCCUCCCACUUUCUGUCUGAGUCAACCCCUCCAGGGACCUCGCAGAGGUGGGAUCACGCAGCAUGUGGCUUCUUGAGCCUGCCAGCUCCGCUCCACAUCCCAGCCGCAGGGCUCACGCACCUUGUCGCCUCAGACAGUUGUGUCAGGAGGCCCUUCCUUUUCCAGGCUGAGUAGUAUUCCUCUGUGCGUGUUGACUGCAUUUG
ensembl:lncRNA